UCACCCAUUCCUUAAACGGGUUAGCAGAGAACCGUGAGUCUGUAGAGAAACAGUGUAAACACUCUUUGUUCAGACAGGAUUAAGAGCUCAGCUGUAUUAU